AGCUGGUCAGAGUUGAUGGGAAGAUGGAUGCAGCUAAAUACUGAACAAUCCUGGAGGAAAACCUGGUAGAGGCUGCAAAAGACUUGAGACUGGGGUGGAGGUUCACCUUCCAGUAGGACAACAACCCUCAACAACCAGCCAAAGCUACAAUGGAAGGGUUUAGAUCAAAACAUAUUCAUCGUUCAGUCUAAUAUCC